GGGGGGUUGGUGUAGUGGUAGCAUGUUUGAUUCCAGCAUUAAGCAGCUUCCUUCGGAUCAGGCUUGGGUUACUUUACCAAGUCUGGGAGAAGUGAUCUAGGGACUCCAAGUGGUCAUCGGUUAAAAUCCGGUACCCCUCA